rnacentral:rRNA from 1 species
AUUGAACGCUGGCGGCAGGCCUAACACAUGCAAGUCGAACGAUCGGCGGACGGGUGAGUAAUGUCUGUGAAUCUGCCCGAUGGAGGGGGAUAACUACUGGAAACGGUAGCUAAUACCGCAUACUAUCACAUUUACCCAGAUGGGAUUAGCUUGUUGGUGGGGUAAAGGCACACCAAGGCGACGGUCCCUAGCUGGUCUGGGAGUCUGACCACCCAAAAUGGAACUGGGACACGGCCAAGACUCCAACGGGAGGCGGCAGUGGGGAAUAUUGCACAAUGAACGCAAGCCUGAUGCAGCCAUGCGGCUUGUAUGAAGAAGGCCUUAGGGUUGUAAAGUACAUUCAGCGAGAAGACGUUAACCGCAGAAGAAGCACCGGCUAACUCCGUGCCAGCCGCCGCGGUAAUUC